GCGGGUGUGGCGGAAUGGCAGACGCACCAGCCUUAGGAGCUGGCGGGCAACCGUGCAGGUUCGAGUCCUGUCACCCGCA
rnacentral:tRNA from 2 species